GGCUUCAAUAAUACACCAUAUAUAAAAAAUCUCUUUCCUAGUCUGUAUCUUAUCUCUAAUUUGGAUCGCAUUCAAAUUAGGCAAGAGAUAAUAUUAUGACUCAUCAGCUAUAGCCAACCACUCUUAUUGGAUCCUCUCUCAUGAUACCAAAAAUCAUAACCCAAAUCCAAUUAGGCAUGAAGAAAUUGGCAUAGAUCCAGAUGUGGCGCAAAAGAUAAGGAUAGAGUCCUAGUCUGACUUAGACUCUUCAUUUCUAAUUCAAUUUCAAUCCAAAUCAAAUUUGGAUUAAAAUCACUGAUAGAAAUAAAUCUAAUCUAAUUAAAAAUUUAAAUAUUUUAUCAAAUUUCUAAUCCAAUUAGGAAUUAGCUGAGUUCAAAUCCUGAUCGAAUCAGGAUCAAAUUUCUUUUGUAAUCGG
rnacentral:lncRNA from 1 species